rnacentral:lncRNA from 1 species
CGAGAAGGCCAAGGACAGCCAGGCGAUCCGCGCCGGUAAAGGUAAGGCUAGGAACCGGAGAUACGUAUCUCGUAAGGGACCAUUAGUUGUUUACGGUAAUGAAGGUGCUAAGCUGGUCAAGUCCUUCCGUAACAUUCCUGGUGUGGAGAUCGCCAAUGUGGAACGCCUCAACCUUUUGAAGCUGGCUCCCGGUGGGCAUUUGGGACGGGUUGUGAUCUGGACCAAGUCCGCUUUUGAGAAGCUUGACUCGAUCUAUGGAUCGUUUGAGAAGGCUUCGGAGAAGAAGAAUGGUUAUGUCUUGCCUAGGGCCAAGAUGGUGAAUGCUGACCUUGCCAGGAUCAUCAACUUUUUUUACUUCAAUAAGAAACUCUCUCCCUCUCCAUAUUUCUCUUGUUCUUGUCUUUCUUUGAGUUUAGUUUUAUAACAUAAAAUUUAAUGAUUCAACUGUUUGUAAUAUAAAUAAAAUAGAGACUCCAGUACAUCUUUGUAUCGUGUACCCUUGCCAUGUGUCAUCUUUUUAUUGGCCAGUGAAAUUAAAAUUUAAAAACUAUUGGAUCAACACCCAAUUUUAACGCAAAACACAAUUUUGGUCGAGUAAGAAAUCCAAAACUCUUUCAUUUUACUCGGUCCACCAGACCACCACCAUCCACUUAAAUACUUGUUUUCUUUGUAAUUUUUAAUAAAUAGAAGCAUGAAAUUCUCCAGCUAAAAUCAUGAAAUUUGUUAGACCAAAUUACGCCAAAGAACCGGCCAAUUCACAAAAUCGAUUAUGGUUAAUGAUUCAUGUUCUUAGAUGUCGACUAGGCAACCAACGAAGAAGGAAUUCAGAAUGGUGAUGGGCUAGGAACAAAAAAUUAAGGUGUACAAAACUCGGAUAGAUGGGGAAACCGAUUAUUACGAUUAGGGUUCUUCGAUUCUGAUAUUAUUCUCUUUCAAAUUUUGAGAGGAAGCGCUCAACAACUGGAGGGAGACCAUCCCGUCGUGAUUGCCGGAGAAAUUGGACCGCCGAACGUCUUCGGUGGGCUGCCGAAUGGAAGCGCGGAGUAUGAGCAACUAUGGUCGCCGACGGGUAGCUGCGACGAAGGAGUAUUGCUAAAGAAGAAGAUGAUGAAUAAGAUCUGAGUAUUGUUUGUAAAAGAUGGAGGUGGCAGAUGGAAGUUUAAGCAGGCUGAUUUCUCUUUUUCCAUAACCACAAUGUAAUUAAUCCUGUUUAUUUUAAAGUAUGUGGAUAUUGGAUAUUAUUUGACGUGUCAUGUUGUAAUUGACCAUUCAAAUUAAUUAUGUAAAUAGUAAUAAAACUAAAUUAUACCAAUCGAGCUAGGUCAGAGGUAAUUCGACCAAAAAGCGCAAGGGUCGAGAGCUUGCUCUAAUCGCCUCUGAAGCUCCCUCGAAGGAUGCGGCGGGGGGGUUAUUUUUUACAACAAAAAUUUACUCAUUUAUUAAUUAUAAAACUCGAAACCCAUUAUCAUUUAGAUUUAUAACUAACAUGCCGACACACAUCAAGAUUCAAGAUUAAUAAAUAAACCAUAUGAUAUAAUUUAUGAGCAUCAAAUCAAAUGUUUGGCACAACUAUACUACUCGGGCCUUAGGCCCGGACCAUAUAUCUAGUGGGGUUAGCCCAAUGAAGUAAGCCACCACACCAGUUAAGAAACCUAGCCGCCAAACACCUCCAUUUAUAAACCCAAAUCCCCUACUCCGCCUCCCAAAACCCUAGUAGCCAUUUGUAUUCAGCUCCACUCUUCCUUUACCCAGCUCGGCGAAAUGGCUGCAACCGCCGCUGCACGUCCCCUUGUCUCCAUCCAAACCCUUCCCGUCCUCAAUGAUAUGUCCACUGAUUCCCCUACCACCGUACACCUCCCCGACGUGAUGCGCUCCUCCAUCCGUCCCGACAUAGUCAACUUCGUCCACGCCCAGAUGUCGAACAACAGUCGCCAACCCUACGCCGUCUCCAAGAAGGCCGGUCACCAGACCUCCGCCGAGUCAUGGGGUACCGGCCGUGCCGUUUCGCGUAUCCCUCGUGUCUCCGGAGGAGGCACGCACAGAGCUGGCCAGGGAGCCUUCGGGAACAUGUGCCGUGGUGGACGCAUGUUCGCUCCCACCAAGAUCUGGCGCCGCUGGCACAGGAGGAUCAACGUCAACCAGAAGCGGUUCGCAGUUGUUUCCGCGAUCGCCGCGUCGGCCGUGCCUUCUCUGGUGAUGGCUCGCGGCCACCGGAUUGACACUGUUCCCGAAUUGCCCCUGGUGAUCAACGAUUCCGCGGAGGGUGUCGAGAAGACUUCCACCGCCAUCAAGGUGUUGAAGGAGAUCGGAGCUUAUGCCGACGCCGAGAAGGCCAAGGACAGCCAGGCGAUCCGCGCCGGGAAAGGUAAGGCUAGGAACCGUAGAUACGUAUCUCGUAAGGGACCAUUGGUUGUUUACGGUAAUGAAGGUGCUAAGCUGGUUAAGGCCUUCCGUAACAUUCCUGGUGUUGAGAUCGCCAAUGUGGAACGCCUCAACCUUUUGAAGCUGGCUCCUGGUGGUCAUUUGGGACGGUUUGUGAUCUGGACCAAGUCCGCUUUUGAGAAGCUUGACUCGAUCUAUGGAUCGUUUGAGAAGGCUUCGGAGAAGAAGAAUGGUUAUGUCUUGCCCAGGGCCAAGAUGGUGAAUGCUGACCUUGCCAGGAUCAUCAACUCCGAUGAGGUUCAGUCUGUGGUGAAGCCCGUCAACAAAGAAGUGAAGAGGGCGACGCUGAAGAAGAAUCCAUUGAAGAACUUGAACGUGAUGCUUAAGCUUAACCCGUAUGCUAAGACUGCUAGGAGAAUGUCAUUGUUGGCUGACGCCCAGCGCGUUAAAUCUAAGAAGGAGAAGCUUGACAGGAAGAGGACUCCCAUUAGCAAGGUAAAAUCAGAGCUUUCUCUCUUUGAUUACACUAUGUGCUGAACUGAUCUGUAAUUUGUUCGUUGGCUGAGUAAUUUUACCUCAAUUCUAUUGUUUGGAUAUAGCAAUGUGUUGCUCUCUAGUUUUGAUAUUACUGAAUAUAUAAGUAGUUGAUUUAGGGCAUAUAAUUCCCUGUUCUGGGUGUGGUUUAAUUUGAUCGUAUUCAUAGCCAUUGCGUUUUGGUUUGCGAAUGGUAGCUGUCCAGGUGAAUUGAAGUUGAAGCUAAGUGCUUUGAUACAUACCCAGUUGGUUUUCUUCUCUGUUAAUUGUGUGUUUUAUCCAAUAUGUACAAGAAUCAUGAACUUAGUUGCUGAAUGUGGGAACAUUGGGUUGUCUGUAUCGUCUGAUGAUUUGUUAAACUAACAUUCUUUAACAGCAUGAAAUUAUGGCUUCUUGCAUCUUCUUCUUGAAAAUGUACUUGUACUAAGAACUUUAUUGUUGGAUCAGGAGGAAGCAAGUGCAAUCAAGGCCGCUGGGAAGGCAUGGUACAAGAC